AGCGAACGCUGGCGGCGUGCUUAACACAUGCAAGUCGAACGGAGGAUUUAUUUCGGUAAAUCCUUAGUGGCGAACGGGUGAGUAACGCGUGGGCAAUCUGCCCUUCAGAUGGGGACAACAUCCCGAAAGGGGUGCUAAUACCGAAUACGAUCCUUCUUCCGCAUGGAGGAAGGAUGAAAGAUGGCCUCUAUUUAUAAGCUAUCGCUGAAGGAUGAGCCUGCGUCUGAUUAGCUAGUUGGUGGGUAACGGCCUACCAAGGCGAUGAUCAGUAGCCGGUCUGAGAGGAUGAACGGCCACAUUGGGACUGAGACACGGCCCAAACUCCUACGGGAGGCUG
rnacentral:rRNA from 1 species